rnacentral:rRNA from 1 species
CCUACGGGGCGCAGCAGUGAGGAAUAUUGGUCAAUGGGCGCGAGCCUGAACCAGCCAAGUAGCGUGAAGGAUGACUGCCCUACGGGUUGUAAACUUCUUUUCUAAAGGAAUAAAGUGAGGCACGUGUGCCUUUUUGUAUGUACCAUAUGAAUAAUGAUCGGCUAACUCCGUGCCAGCAGCCGCGGUAAUACGGAGGAUCCGAGCGUUAUCCGGAUUUAUUGGGUUUAAAGGGAGCGUAGGUGGAUUGUUAAGUCAGUUGUGAAAGUUUGCGGCUCAACCGUACAAUUGCAGUUGAAACUGGCUGU